UGCAGUCGAACGAGAUCCAUGAGAGCUUGCUCUCGGAAGAUCUAGUGGCGAACGGGUGAGUAACACGUGAGAAACCUGCCCUGGAGUGGGGAAUAACUCGGGGAAACUCGAGCUAAUACCGCAUACCCUCGGAUGGUCGCAUGGCCGACCGAGGAAAGAUUUAUCGCUCUAGGAGGGUCUCGCGGCCUAUCAGCUAGUUGGUGGGGUAACGGCCUACCAAGGCAACGACGGGUAGCUGGUUUGAGAGAACGAUCAGCCACACUGGGACUGAGACACGGCCCAGACUCCUACGGGAGGCAGCAGUGGGGAAUCUUGCGCAAUGGGCGAAAGCCUGACGCAGCAACGCCGCGUGCGGGAUGACGGCCUUCGUGGUUGUAAACCGCUUUCAGCAGGGACGAAAAUGACGGUACCUGCAGAAGAAGCCCCGGCUAACUACGUGCCAGCAGCCGCGGUAAUACGUAGGGGGCAAGCGUUGUCCGGAUUCAUUGGGCGUAAAGAGCUCGUAGGCGGUUCAGUAAGUCGGGUGUGAAAGCUCCGAGCUCAACUCGGAGAGGCCACCCGAUACUGCUGUGACUUGAGUCCAGUAGAGGAGCGUGGAACUCCUGGUGUAGCGGUGGAAUGCGCAGAUAUCAGGAAGAACACCUGCAGCGAAGGCGGCGCUCUGGGCUGGAACUGACGCUGAGGAGCG
rnacentral:rRNA from 1 species